rnacentral:rRNA from 1 species
CUACGGGCGGCUGCAGUGGGGAAUAUUGCACAAUGGAGGAAACUCUGAUGCAGCAACGCCGCGUGGAGGAUGACACUUUUCGGAGCGUAAACUCCUUUUAUAUAGGAAGAAGAUGACGGUACUAUAUGAAUAAGCGCCGGCUAACUCCGUGCCAGCAGCCGCGGUAAUACGGAGGGCGCAAGCGUUACUCGGAAUCACUGGGCGUAAAGAGCGUGUAGGCGGAUUAAAAAGUCAGAAGUGAAAUCCUAUAGCUUAACUAUAGAACUGCUUCUGAAACUCUUAAUCUAGAAUAUGGGAGAGGUAGAUGGAAUUUCUGGUGUAGGGGUAAAAUCCGUAGAGAUCAGAAGGAAUACCGAUUGCGAAGGCGAUCUACUAGAACAUUAUUGACGCUGAGACGCGAAAGCGUGGGGAGCAAACAGGAUUAGAUACCCGCGUAGUC